GUAAAUAACAGCUUCUGAUUGGCUGUUGGCGCGGCGACCGCGCCCUGUUUGUGAUUGGCUGCGCGCCCGAGCUCUUCCCGGCCUCUGACUGGUUGAUUCGCGCUGAGUGGAGGCCACGCCCCCUGGCAACGGCGCCAUAGCAACGGCGGGGGGAGUCACGUGACCGCGAUGGACGGGGCCCAGCGCCGGUUGGAGCUGCUCGAGGAUCAACGGCAGAGGGCCGCGGCGGCUCUCGGGGGGUCUCUGGGGGUCCUGCCCCACCUGCGCCGGGAGUUGGAGCAGCUGCGGGCGGAGCGGCGGCGGCUGCAGCGAAUCCUGGGGGGGCGGCUGCGGGAGCUGGAGGAGACCCAACGGGAGAUCGAGGCGGAGCUGCAGAGAGCGGCGACGGCCCCGAGGGACGGGUGGGGACCCCAAAAACACCCGAACCCCAAAAAAACCCCCCAGAACACCUCAAAAAACUUCCGAAACACCCCUGAUACCCCAAAACCCCCCCCUGAACCCCAAAACCCCCCUGGAGCCCCCCAAACCCCCCUGAACCCCAAAAACUCCCCUGGAACAGCCCAAAACCCUCCCUGGACCCCAAAACCCCCCCUGGAACCCCAAAAAACCCCUGAAACCCCAAAGACCCCUGGAACCCCCAAAACCCCCCUGGAACCCCCAAACCCGACAGCCCCGGGACCCCCUG
rnacentral:lncRNA from 1 species